rnacentral:rRNA from 1 species
UACGGAAGGCAGCAGUGGGGAAUAUUGCACAAUGGGCGCAAGCCUGAUGCAGCCAUGCCGCGUGUAUGAAGAAGGCCUUCGGGUUGUAAAGUACUUUCAGCGGGGAGGAAGGCGAUGCGGUUAAUAACCGCGUCGAUUGACGUUACCCGCAGAAGAAGCACCGGCUAACUCCGUGCCAGCAGCCGCGGUAAUACGGAGGGUGCAAGCGUUAAUCGGAAUUACUGGGCGUAAAGCGCACGCAGGCGGUCUGUUAAGUCAGAUGUGAAAUCCCCGGGCUUAACCUGGGAACUGCAUUUUGAAACUGGCAGGCUUGAGUCUUGUAGAGGGGGUGAAAUUCCAGGUGUAGCGGUGAAAUGCGUAGAGAUCUGGAGGAAUACCGGUGGCGAAGGCGGCCCCUGGACAAAGACUGACGCUCAGGGUGCGAAAGCGUGGGGAGCGAAACAGGAUUAGAUACC